UACGGGGGGGGCAAGCGUUGUUCGGAAUUACUGGGCGUAAAGGGCGCGUAGGCGGCCUGCUAAGUCGGACGUGAAAUCCCUCGGCUCAACCGGGGAACUGCGUCCGAUACUGGCGAGGCUUGAAUCCGGGAGAGGGAUGUGGAAUUCCAGGUGUAGCGGUGAAAUGCGUAGAUAUCUGGAGGAACACCGGUGGCGAAGGCGGCGUUCUGGACUGCAACUGACACUGAGAAACGAAAGCCAGGGUAGCAAACGGG
rnacentral:rRNA from 1 species